GCAUUGGGUGGCUCAUUUGGUUGAGCAUGAGGCUUUUAAUCUCAGGGUUGUGUGUUCAAGUCUCAUGUUGGGCA